rnacentral:rRNA from 1 species
AGAGUUUGAUCCUGGCUCAGAUUGAACGCUGGCGGAAUGCUUUACACAUGCAAGUCGAGCGGCAGCGCGGGGGCAACCCUGGCGGCGAGCGGCGAACGGGUGAGUAAUGUAUCGGAACGUACCCAGUCGUGGGGGAUAACUAUCCGAAAGGAUAGCUAAUACCGCAUACGUCCUGAGGGAGAAAGCGGGGGACCGAAAGGCCUCGCGCGAUUGGAGCGGCCGAUAUCGGAUUAGCUAGUUGGUGAGGUAAAGGCUCACCAAGGCGACGAUCCGUAGCUGGUCUGAGAGGACGACCAGCCACACUGGAACUGAGACACGGUCCAGACUCCUACGGGAGGCAGCAGUGGGGAAUUUUGGACAAUGGGGGCAACCCUGAUCCAGCCAUUCCGCGUGAGUGAAGAAGG